GCUCUCCUUUGCUUACAGGAAAGCUCCGGAGGAGGCGAGACCCUGCGAGCUUGCUCUUCAGUUUUUAAAUUUAAUGGUGGUUUCUGCCCCAAAGUUGGCCCUGGGGGUCCACAAUUAUUAACUGUGUUCCGGUGGUUCUGGCAGCCGCUGGCCCCAGGACUCGGAGCCUUUCAUUUAACAAGGGCUUAACCUGCAGCCAGCGAGUCUCUGUCCUCCCUCCUUGGCGUCCCUUCCCUACUCGUCUCUCCCGAAGGACCCAUCAGAAGCCUUUUGAAAACCCAGGGAUUGUUCUCUGUGAGAGGCGCUUUCUGGCACCUUUCUUGAGGGACAUUAUUUGCCAUCAUCAAGGAUGGAUUGUGCUGCAUGUUACCUGCGACUGUACCUGUGUGCACCCAAAGGGCUUCCCGGCACAGAGCCUCUGAAACUCAUGGAAUUUCUCCAGUGAUAGGUGACUGCAGUCCGUGCCUGAUCAGGUGAGCUGGCGGUGGGCACUGGGACUGGUGACAGGACCUGCAGAGAGCUGUGCAGGGAGGAUGUGCGCCUCUGGCCCACCUGCAGUGGGGAGUGAGUCCUGACGUCGGAACUGGGGCUCUGAUUGUCACACACCAAAGACACUCCAGCAGCAGGUGGCUGUGGCCUUGAAUAGUGGGUCCAACUCCUAGAACUACAUUGUUUCAAAAUUAAAGCAUUUCCCUUUCUUCAUGAAA